rnacentral:rRNA from 1 species
GAUGAACGCUGGCGGCGUGCUUAACACAUGCAAGUCGAACGAUGAAGCCCAGCUUGCUGGGUGGAUUAGUGGCGAACGGGUGAGUAACACGUGAGUAACCUGCCCUUAACUCUGGGAUAAGCCUGGGAACCUGGGUCUAAUACCGGAUAGGAGCGUCCACCGCAUGGGGGGUGUUGGAAAGAUUUAUCGGUUUUGGAUGGACUCGCGGCCUAUCAGCUUGUUGGUGAGGUAAUGGCUCACCAAGGGGACGACGGGUAGCCGGCCUGAGAGGGUGAACGGCCACAAGGGGACUGAGACACGGACCAGACGCCUACAGGAGGCAGCAGGGGAGAAUAUGGUACAAUGGGCGCAAGUCUGUUGAAGAGACGCCGCGAGAGGGAUGACGGCCUACGGGUUGUAAACCUCUUUAAGUAGGGACGAAGCGAAAGUGACGGUACCUGCAGAAGAAGCACCGGCUAACUACGUG